rnacentral:rRNA from 1 species
GCCUAGGGAGGCAGCAGUGGGGAAUAUUGCACAAUGGGGGAAACCCUGAUGCAGCGACGCCGCGUGAAGGAAGAAGUAUUUCGGUACGUAAACUUCUAUCAGCAGGGAAGAAAAUGACGGUACCUGACUAAGAAGCCCCGGCUAACUACGUGCCAGCAGCCGCGGUAAUACGUAGGGGGCAAGCGUUAUCCGGAUUUACUGGGUGUAAAGGGAGCGUAGGCGGUGCAGCAAGUCAGAAGUGAAAGCCCGGGGCUCAACUCCGGGACUGCUUUUGAAACUGUUGAACUAGAUUGCAGGAGAGGUAA